rnacentral:misc_RNA from 1 species
GGAAGCAUGACUUGGCGACCAUGCGAACCUGAGGUGCAACCCUAUAUGAUACCUGCCUCCAGUUUGGGUGUUCCACCAUCAAGGGUUGUAUAAUGGUGUGGUACUGGUAGAGAUACAAUCCGAGGUGAUUCCAGUUCGAGUUCGGCUGAUUCACCAUUUGGUGCAGCAUUGCCAGAGGUGAUUCCAGGUGUUGAGUUGACAAGUUUUUAAGUUCAUGCAAUUG